rnacentral:lncRNA from 1 species
UUUGUUUUUAAUGUUUUUAAAAAGUCCUUUAAAUGUUUUUGGCCUGAACUAUUCCCUAUGGACAGGCCCCAUGGUGAAUGUUUAUUUGUUGUGUAAAGGACAAUUACUUUUGUGGAAAGGAAGUUUCUAGGCUUUCAGAGGAAACCCCAGUGUUUUUUGGAACAGGAGUUUGCAGUCACUUGUCCUACAAGUGGUGAUGUCACCGUCUUUGUCCUUCUGACCAUAACAUUUCGAGUUUUGUGACUUGCAACCACUCAGCGAGAAAUAUAAUUGACAUCACAAUCCAGUGUGUAUAUAUGACUGAAAAAAUAUUGUCAAGACACAAUACCCUUACUAUGAUAGCUGUACUCAGAUGUCUUCUAGUCUUUUCAUUAUUGCCUUGAAAAACUGCUAGUUGCUGCCCAUUGAGUUGAUUAUUUGACAAGGAAUUCAAUCUUGGUAACAUCACUGCUGUCUUGGAGCUUAGAUGAUUCCAUCUCUUAAUCUAUCUCACUUCAUAUUUCCCGUACCAGUUAGCACCUGCACCUCCAUCCUCCCGCUUCCCCGAGGGCGGGUGACCUCAGGAAAGUGAAGGGUGUUAGGUGUUUGGGGACAGGACCAUUUCACUCAGGUGAAACCCUUUUGGUUGAACACACAUAGUUGAUCACAGAAUGAUUUCCUCCCUGUUUUUAAAGCACGAAUUUUAUCUUCCCUCUCCUCCUCUCACUUUUAAAUUGAGAAUAUGCUUUUGCUUUUUAAACAUCCACGCUUGCCUUUCAUGUACGGAGAAACAAGUGCUGUUGACAUGCCCCAAGGAAAGUGCUGCUCAGACGCUCAAGCAAAUCAGGAACGGAUGGGCGGUCCGACCUCCUCAGCCCGCUGUUCCCAGACACUUAGCCUCGCCUGUCAGAUGCUCCGGGAGUGCACUCCCGUGGAAUCUGUUGAAACAGAUCCUCAUCUCAAUGUCUGCAUCUGGGGAAGCUGACGGAGACAUCCAUCAAAGAAGUUCAGAGAUGGACACUUGCCUAUCCGGAACUUGA